GGCGGACGGGUGAGUAACGCGUGGGUAACCUGCCUCAUACAGGGGGAUAACAGUUGGAAACGACUGCUAAUACCGCAUAAGCGCACAGGGUCGCAUGACCUGGUGUGAAAAACUCCGGUGGUAUGAGAUGGACCCGCGUCUGAUUAGCCAGUUGGUGGGGUAACGGCCUACCAAAGCGACGAUCAGUAGCCGACCUGAGAGGGUGACCGGCCACAUUGGGACUGAGACACGGCCCAA
rnacentral:rRNA from 1 species